GACGAACGCUGGCGGCGUGCUUAACACAUGCAAGUCGAACGGAAAGGCCCUGCUUUUGUGGGGUGCUCGAGUGGCGAACGGGUGAGUAACACGUGAGUAACCUGCCCUUGACUUUGGGAUAACUUCAGGAAACUGGGGCUAAUACCGGAUAGGAGCUCCUGCUGCAUGGUGGGGGUUGGAAAGUUUCGGCGGUUGGGGAUGGACUCGCGGCUUAUCAGCUUGUUGGUGGGGUAGUGGCUUACCAAGGCUUUGACGGGUAGCCGGCCUGAGAGGGUGACCGGCCACAUUGGGAUGGGGAUACGGCCCGGACUACGACGGGGGGCAGCGGGGGGGAAUUUUGCACAAGGGGCGGAGGCCGGAGGCAGAACCGCCGCGGGCGGGAGGACGGCCUUCGGGUUGUAAACCGCUUUCGCCUGUGACGAGGCGUGAGUGACGGUAAUGGGUAAAGAAGCACCGGCUAACUACGU
rnacentral:rRNA from 1 species